CCAUUCAAAAGAAAAAUUGUACACCUUUCACAAACUAAUAAAAUAAUUGCAUAGAAAAUUUCUAGAGAGAGACGAUAUAUCUCUAUUUCUCAGUCUUGAAAUGUUCUCAUAUAAUAUAAAGCCCGAGUUAGAGAGACGGUCAUUUUGGCUGGUUCAAUAGGAUAAUUAUCGUACUAAUUAGUUGUACCUAUCGCUAUGAAUUUUAUACUGUUUGGAAUCUUCUGCAAAAAAAUAUAGUCUUGAUUCUUGGACACUUCUUCAAUAACAUAACUAGG
rnacentral:lncRNA from 1 species